rnacentral:rRNA from 1 species
UACGGAGGAUUCGAGCGUUAUCCGGAUUUAUUGGGUUUAAAGGGUGCGUAGGCGGACUGAUAAGUCUGCUGUGAAAGUUUACGGCUCAACCGUGAAGUUGCAGUUGAAACUGUUAAUCUUGAGUAUACAUGAGGUAAGCGGAAUUUGUAGUGUAGCGGUGAAAUGCUUAGAUAUCACAAAGAACUCCAGUUGCGAAGGCAGCUCACUGGAGUAUAACUGACGCUGAUGCACGAAGGUGUGGGUAUCAAACAGG